CUUUUUGAGUCGAAAACACAAAGCGCGGCGCAUACGAAUUGUUUUUGCAUUUGUUCGUGAAUCAGAUACUGAUUCUCGGUUUAUUCAGAAGUCCUCUGAGAAGUCUAAUCCCGUCCGGAUGUGUCUGAGAUUCAUCCCGUAAUUGUUUGGUGAUCGAUUCUCCGACCGCUCGCUCCACUUUCAUCAUGGAUAUAGAGGCCUUUCUGCCAUAUCGGACGAAACAAUAACAUGAAAUCAAUAAGAAGAUGCCGAUCACGAAAACUAAUAGCAGAGUUAGAGUCAUCAAGGAUCCAGUUGUUUAUUGGCAAUUUGGACAGUACAGAAAGUGCACAAGUGUGAGAGAGAGGAGGGGACGGCAUCAGAAAGGACCUAGAGCUGGGACUCUUUCAAGGAUCACCCAAAGCACAACCAAGCUAUAUGCACAAGGCAGUUGGUUCUAACAUUUUAUCAGAAUUUGAAGGAAUAUUUCUACUUAAAAUAUUAAAUGCAUUUCAUUCAAGGCAGCGUUUUUCCUGCGUAAAGAAUUUCCUCUGGCUGUCGACAAAACUCAGACAGUCCUAUCCUUUACCACCGACAUGGUUUCUGUUGCAGGUUCCAUUCUCGAACUGUUCUACACAUUCUCACUGCACAAAUGCACAAAUCUCUUGUAAUGAGACACAUUAGUAAAACAUGUUUUCACAGAAACCAUAGAUUU